rnacentral:rRNA from 1 species
ACAGAUCGUUCAGAGUUUGAUCCUGGCUCAGGAUGAACGCUGGCGGCGUGCCUAACACAUGCAAGUCGAACGGGACUAUCAAGAGAUGUUUUCGGACUGAUCUUUUUAGUUUAGUGGCGGACGGGUGAGUAACGCGUGGACAACCUGCCUUUCACAGGGGGAUAGCAGCUGGAAACGGCUGGUAAUACCGCAUACGCUCAGUGCACCGCAUGGUGUGCUGAAGAAAGAUUUAUCGGUGAAAGAUGGAUCCGCGUCUGAUUAGCCAGUUGGCGGGGUAACGGCCCACCAAAGCGACGAUCAGUAGCCGGCCUGAGAGGGCGGACGGCCACAUUGGGACUGAGACACGGCCCAG